rnacentral:lncRNA from 1 species
UGCAUUGGGACUGGAAAAUAUCCAAACUAGUACAAACACAUCCACACGUCUGUUAGUAGCUCAGGAUCCAACAUGCUUUACACAGCGCAGAGCAAGGCAGCAUGGGAUCAACUGAACUUCAUUGAGAUAUCCCGAGGGUUUUAUUGCUCUACGCUUGUCCAAAGGGGACUUCCAGAGUUACUGGUGCCAACGCCACACAGGUGACCUACACGUAUAUGAGUAUGAAAAGGACCUGAGCCCUAGGACCAUGCCUCAGGACUACCUGGCUUGAUGACUCCUUGCUGUCCCCAGUUCACCUGGCCGUGCUGCUGCUCCAGUUCCAACUGUUCUGCCUGCAGCUAUGGAACCCUGACCUGUUCACCGGACGUGCUACCUGUCCCAGACCUGUUGUCCCAGACCUGCUGGAACCCUGACCUAUUCACCGGACGUCCUACCUGUCCCAGAGUUGCUGUCCCAGACCUGCUGGAACCCUGACCUGUUCACCGGACGUGCUACCUGUCCCAGACCUGCUGUUUUCAACUCUCUAGAGACAGCAGGAGUGGUAGAGAUACUCUCAAAGAUCGGCUAUGAAAAAGCCAACUGACACUUACUCUUGUGUUACUGACUUGUUGCACCCUCGACAACUACUAUGAUUAUUAUUAUUUGACAAUGCUGGUCAUUUAUGAACAUUUGAACAUCUAGGCCAUGUGCUGUUAUAAUCUCCACCCAGCACAGCCAGAAGAGGACUGGCCACCCCUCAUAGCCUGGUUCCUCUCUAGGUUUCUUCCUAGGUUCUGGCCUUUCUAGGGAGUUUUUCCUAGCCACCGUGCUUCUACACCUGCAUUGCUUGCUGUUUGGGGUUUUAGGCUGGGUUUCUGUACAGCACUUUGUGAUAUCAGCUGAUGUAAGAAGGGC